rnacentral:rRNA from 1 species
AAAGGUAAGCUACUAAGAGCGAAUGGUGGAUGCCUUGACUGGUAAAGGCGAUGAAGGACGUACUAGACUGCGAUAAGCUACGGGGAGCUGUCAAGAAGCUUUGAUCCGUAGAUUUCCGAAUGGGGCAACCCAAUGUAUAGAGAUAUACAUUACCUAUAUAGGAGCGAACGAGGGGAAUUGAAACAUCUUAGUACCCUCAGGAAAAGAAAUCAAUAGAGAUUGCGUCAGUAGCGGCGAGCGAAAGCGCAAGAGGGCAAACCCAGUGCUUGCACUGGGGGUUGUAGGACUGCAAUGUGCAAGAGCUGAGUUUAGCAGAACAUUCUGGAAAGUAUAGCCAUAGAGGGUGAUAGUCCCGUAUGCGAAAAACAAAGCUUAGCUAGCAGUAUCCUGAGUAGGGCGGGACACGAG